AUUGAACGCUGGCGGCAUGCUUUACCCAUGCAAGUCGAACGGUAACAGGCCGCAAGGUGCUGGCGAGUGGCGAACGGGUGAGUAAUGCAUCGGAACGUGCCCAGUCGUGGGGGAUAACGCAGCGAAAGCUGUGCUAAUACCGCAUACGAUCUAUGGAUGAAAGCGGGGGACCGUAAGGCCUCGCGCGAUUGGAGCGGCCGAUGUCAGAUUAGGUAGUUGGUGGGGUAAAGGCCUACCAAGCCGACGAUCUGUAGCUGGUCUGAGAGGACGACCAGCCACACUGGGACUGAGACACGGCCCAGACUCCUACGGGAGGCAGCAGUGGGGAAUUUUGGACAAUGGGCGCAAGCCUGAUCCAGCAAUGCCGCGUGCAGGAAGAAGGCCUUCGGGUUGUAAACUGCUUUUGUACGGAACGAAACGGUCUGGGUUAAUACCCUGGGCUAAUGACGGUACCGUAAGAAUAAGCACCGGCUAACUACGUGCCAGCAGCCGCGGUAACAC
rnacentral:rRNA from 1 species